AUAAUUCAUGGCUUGGGUAUGCAUGAUUCAAAUUUGUUGUUGAGAAAUAAAUUGUUGUUGUUGGUUUGGUGAAAAUGAGUACUUAUGAGUUUUGCUCAAUUGUUGGAUUGGGAUAUGGUGUUGUUGAAUUAUGGUUGAAUUCAUGUCUAAAUGAAGUGUUGUUGAAAUAGACAUGUUGUUGUUGUUGAAUGAUAUCAUGGGUAUUCCAUUUUAUGAAAUAAGUUGUUUGUAUUGGGGAAGUUGUGUUAG
rnacentral:lncRNA from 1 species